rnacentral:lncRNA from 1 species
GGCAGUCCACUCCAUGAAGAGGGAGGCCUUGACACACAAGAGAAAGAAGUAGUGAAGUCUGAGCAAGGAUCUGCCCCCGGCUCCCUGCACCUGCCUCCUAGAGCUACACAGAUGCCACCCAUCCGUGAAUGUUGAGAGAAGACCUCUGAAGUCCCCAAGCAAAGCACUCCAAAAGCCACAGAGCUGUCUGCGAGUCACAUGGCCAAACCUACUGGAAGCACCCAGGCAAGGGCUCCCAUCCCAACACAGAGAGCAGUCCCGGGAAGGUGGCCAGGGACUGGGGAGCGGCAUUCUCUCCGGAGUUCGGCAGCCCAGCAGUUAACAGGCUCGGGCUGGGCAAGCAACGAACUGCCACCAACAACCUCGGGAAUUAAAGCGCCCGCUGCCUCCUGCUGAAACCUCUUCAAUAAACGGUCCUAUUCAGAACCAG